rnacentral:rRNA from 1 species
GACCCGUUCUUAAAGCACGGACCAAGGAGUCCAACAUGUGCGCGAGUCUAAGGGUGAGAUAAACCCGGAGGCGAAAUGAAAGUGAGCUCCGUUGGGGCAGGCCGAUCCCCUGUCGAGGCCGGGUAGCGGAAGCCGCCGGGUGAGGGACUUUCCCCGUGCUGGCGUGCCGCUGUUCGGUCUGGGCUGCUCCGUCUCGCGAGGGUCGGGGUAUCGGGGGCGCAGGCCGAGGACUUGCCUGUGUGCGGCGCGGGCAACGGGUUGCUCUCGGGCUUCCUUAUCCCGACGUCCGCCGGCAAGUACCUGAGAGCGCAGCCGUUGGGACCCGAAAGAUGGUGAACUAUGCCUGGCGAGGACGAAGCCAGAGGAAACUCUGGUGGAGGUCCGAAGCAGUUCUGACGUGCAAAUCGAUUGUCAGAGCUGGGUAUAGGGGCGAAAGACUAAUCGAACCAUCUAGUAGCUGGUUCCCUCCGAAGUUUCCCUCAGGAUAGCUGGCAUUUUUGGGGAUGAGUUUCAUCCGGUAAAGCGAAUGAUUAGAGGCCUUGGUGGUGCAAUGCCGUCAACCUAUUCUCAAACUUUAAAUGGGUGAGAUGUAGAGCUUGCUUGAGAGAAAUGUGAAGCUCUAUUGAAUUUGAAUCAGAAUGCCUAGUGGGCCACU